GACGAACGCUGGCGGCGUGCCUAAUACAUGCAAGUCGAGCGGACGAUUCGAAAGCUUGCUUUUGAAUCGUUAGCGGCGGACGGGUGAGUAACACGUGGGCAACCUGCCCUGUAGACGGGGAUAACACCGAGAAAUCGGUGCUAAUACCGGAUAACACGAAAUGCCGCAUGACGUUUCGUUGAAAGGCGGCGCACGCUGCCGCUACAGGAUGGGCCCGCGGCGCAUUAGCUAGUUGGUGAGGUAACGGCUCACCAAGGCGACGAUGCGUAGCCGACCUGAGGAGGGGGUCCGCCCACCCGGGGACGGAGACACGGCCCAGCCGCCGGGGGGAGGAGCAAGAAGGGAACCGCCGGCAGGGGCGGAAGGUCUGACGGAGCAGCGCGGGGGGGGCGAAGAGGGCCUUGGGGUCGAAAGGCUCGUUUGUGGGGAAGAAAAAGGUACCGUAGAAAACGACGUUCCAAUGACGGUACCUAACGAAAAAGCCCCGGCUAACUACGUG
rnacentral:rRNA from 1 species